UGAUGCGGUUGCGUAUUUAUUAGUGUCUAAUUAGGGUUUACAACUUCUGCUCACGUGUCAUUAAAUACCAACAACAAUUUCUCCAUUCAAUAAAUCAAGCUCGCUCUUUAUCGUUUAAUCUAUUACGUCUAAGUGUGAGCAUGAGCUUUGAGAAUUGAAGAAAGAAAUGAGAAUUGAAGAAUGAGGGAGGAAAAACACUCACUCUCGUGCAAGGGAUAUAACCAUAUUAAGUAAGAAUUGUGUUGCAACUAUCAUUAUAUUCAGAAUUUCGACUGAUUGUAUAAAAUAAACAACAUAAGAAUUAAAACAAAAGAUCAUAAGCAUAUAAUAAAAAAACAUCUUGCAGUAAUAAGAAAUUGAUCAACAAUUUUGUAGGUUUUUCAGAUUACAACUUUGAUCAUAAAUAGGCAUAUAAAAAACAAAGAAAUAUUAGAUGCAAAAUCCCAC
rnacentral:lncRNA from 1 species